rnacentral:rRNA from 1 species
AUACGGAGGGGACUAGCGUUGUUCGGAAUUACUGGGCGUAAAGAGUUCGUAGGCGGAUAAGCAAGUAAGAGGUGAAAGCCCAGGGCUCAACCCUGGAACUGCCUUUUAAACUGCUUAUCUAGAGACCGGUAGAGGUUAGGGGAAUACCUAGUGUAGAGGUGAAAUUCGUAGAUAUUAGGUGGAACACCAGUGGCGAAGGCGCCUAACUGGACCGGUACUGACGCUGAGGAACGAAAGCGUGGGGAGCAAACGGGAUUAGAAACCCCUGUAGUCC